GUCCUGAAGGCAGGAUCCUGAAGAUCAGGCACCACCUGACAGGGAUGGCUAUAGCAUUACAGCCCCACUCAUGGGUGGCCCUGAAGGACACUGGGGAAAGGAAUCUUCCCAGUGGGCAGAACAUCUAGCAGGACAUUGGUUGUCUAACUUAAAUGGAAGAAGAAGUCAGAGGUGCACACCUAUACUGAUUCAUAGUCACUGGACAAUGAUUUGGCCAGAUGGUCAGAGACAUGCUAGAAACAAGAUCAGAGAAUUAGAGACAAGGAAGUUUGCGCAAGAGAUAUAUGGCCAAACCUCUUAGAAUGCACAGCGUGAGAUAAAUUGAUAUCUUACAUGAAUGUUUGCCAGAGGGAGCCCAUGGUAGAAGAGGAUCUCACUAACCAAAUGGACAACAUGACUCACUGUGUAGAUCUCAGUGAACUACAUCUGAGGAGUUUGUGUACAAUGUGGUCAUGGUGGCAGGGCUGGAGAUUAGGCAUCCAUGGAUAUUGCCACUGUGCUGAUCUGACUACCACUACCACUGCAGAGUAUCCAACUUGCUAACUACCAUUUAGCACCAUGCCCUGAAGGGACCAGCCAAUCUUCUAGUGGCUCACUGAUUGCACUCGACUCCUUACAUCAUGGAGAGGGCAGUAAUUUAUCCUCUUUGAAGUAGACAUUCUGAAUAUAGAUUUGCCUUUCCUGUCCACCAUGCAUCUAGCAUCUCCAUCCAUGGAUAUUUUUUGUGUCUUAUUCACCAUCACGUUAUUCCUUACAAUGUUGCAUCUGGC
rnacentral:lncRNA from 1 species